ACUGAAUGGAGGACCGAACCGACUUACGUUGAAAAGUGAGCGGAUGAACUGAGGGUAGCGGAGAAAUUCCAAUCGAACCUGGAGAUAGCUGGUUCUCUCCGAAAUAGCUUUAGGGCUAGCCUCAAGUGAUGAUUAUUGGAGGUAGAGCACUGUUUGGACGAGGGGCCCCUCUCGGGUUACCGAAUUCAGACAAACUCCGAAUGCCAAUUAAUUUAACUUGGGAGUCAGAACAUGGGUGAUAAGGUCCGUGUUCGAAAGGGAAACAGCCCAGACCACCAGCUAAGGUCCCAAAAUAUAUGUUAAGUGGAAAAGGAUGUGGCGUUGCCCAGACAACUAGGAUGUUGGCUUAGAAGCAGCCAUCAUUUAAAGAGUGCGUAAUAGCUCACUAGUCGAGUGACACUGCGCCGAAAAUGUACCGGGGCUAAACAUAUUACCGAAGCUGUGGAUUGUCCUUUGGACAAUGGUAGGAGAGCGUUCUAAGGGCGUUGAAGCAUGAUCGUAAGGACAUGUGGAGCGCUUAGAAGUGAGAAUGCCGGUGUGAGUAGCGAAAGACGGGUGAGAAUCCCGUCCACCGAUUGACUAAGGUUUCCAGAGGAAGGCUCGUCCGCUCUGGGUUAGUCGGGUCCUAAGCUGAGGCCGACAGGCGUAGGCGAUGGAUAACAGGUUGAUAUUCCUGUACCACCUAUAAUCGUUUUAAUCGAUGGGGGGACGCAGUAGGAUAGGCGAAGCGUGCGAUUGGAUUGCACGUCUAAGCAGUAAGGCUGAGUAUUAGGCAAAUCCGGUACUCAUUAAGGCUGAGCUGUGAUGGGGAGAAGACAUUGUGUCUUCGAGUCGUUGAUUUCACACUGCCGAGAAAAGCCUCUAGAUAGAAAAUAGGUGCCCGUACCGCAAACCGACACAGGUAGUCAAGAUGAGAAUUCUAAGGUGAGCGAGCGAACUCUCGUUAAGGAACUCGGCAAAAUGACCCCGUAACUUCGGGAGAAGGGGUGCUCUUUAGGGUUAACGCCCAGAAGAGCCGCAGUGAAUAGGCCCAAGCGACUGUUUAUCAAAAACACAGGUCUCUGCUAAACCGUAAGGUGAUGUAUAGGGGCUGACGCCUGCCCGGUGCUGGAAGGUUAAGAGGAGUGGUUAGCUUCUGCGAAGCUACGAAUCGAAGCCCCAGUAAACGGCGGCCGUAACUAUAACGGUCCUAAGGUAGCGAAAUUCCUUGUCGGGUAAGUUCCGACCCGCACGAAAGGCGUAACGAUUUGGGCACUGUCUCAACGAGAGACUCGGUGAAAUCAUAGUACCUGUGAAGAUGCAGGUUACCCGCGACAGGACGGAAAGACCCCGUGGAGCUUUACUGUAGCCUGAUAUUGAAAUUCGGCACAGCUUGUACAGGAUAGGUAGGAGCCUUUGAAACGUGAGCGCUAGCUUACGUGGAGGCGCUGGUGGGAUACUACCCUAGCUGUGUUGGCUUUCUAACCCGCACCACUUAUCGUGGUGGGAGACAGUGUCAGGCGGGCAGUUUGACUGGGGCGGUCGCCUCCUAAAAGGUAACGGAGGCGCUCAAAGGUUCCCUCAGAAUGGUUGGAAAUCAUUCAUAGAGUGUAAAGGCAUAAGGGAGCUUGACUGCGAGACCUACAAGUCGAGCAGGGUCGAAAGACGGACUUAGUGAUCCGGUGGUUCCGCAUGGAAGGGCCAUCGCUCAACGGAUAAAAGCUACCCCGGGGAUAACAGGCUUAUCUCCCCCAAGAGUUCACAUCGACGGGGAGGUUUGGCACCUCGAUGUCGGCUCAUCGCAUCCUGGGGCUGUAGUCGGUCCCAAGGGUUGGGCUGUUCGCCCAUUAAAGCGGUACGCGAGCUGGGUUCAGAACGUCGUGAGACAGUUCGGUCCCUAUCCGUCGUGGGCGUAGGAAAUUUGAGAGGAGCUGUCCUUAGUACGAGAGGACCGGGAUGGACAUACCUCUGGUGUACCAGUUGUCGUGCCAACGGCAUAGCUGGGUAGCUAUGUGUGGACGGGAUAAGUGCUGAAAGCAUCUAAGCAUGAAGCCCCCCUCAAGAUGAGAUUUCCCAACUUCGGUUAUAAGAUCCCUCAAAGAUGAUGAGGUUAAUAGGUUCGAGGUGGAAGCAUGGUGACAUGUGGAGCUGACGAAUACUAA
rnacentral:rRNA from 1 species